rnacentral:rRNA from 1 species
AUACGGAGGGUGCAAGCGUUACUCGGAAUCACUGGGCGUAAAGCGCGCGCAGGCGGAUUGAUAAGUCAGAUGUGAAAUCUCGGGGCUCAACCCCGAAACUGCGUCUGAAACUAUUAAUCUAGAGUUUUGGAGAGGGAGGUGGAAUUUCGCAUGUAGGGGUAAAAUCCGUAGAGAUGCGAAGGAACACCAGAGGCGAAGGCGACCUCCUGGACAACAACUGACGCUGAGGCGCGAAAGCGUGGGGAGCAAACAGGAUUAGAAACCCUAGUAGUCC